rnacentral:rRNA from 1 species
UACGUAGGGGGCAAGCGUUGUCCGGAUUUAUUGGGCGUAAAGCGCUCGCAGGCGGCCUGAUGCGUCGUGCGUGAAACACCCCGGCUCAACUGGGGAGGGUCGUGCGAUACGGUCAGGCUCGAGGCCAGUAGGGGGAUGCGGAAUUCCGGGUGUAGUGGUGGAAUGCGUAGAGAUCCGGAGGAACACCGGUGGCGAAGGCGGUCUGCUGGGCAGUUGCUGACACUGAGGCGCGACAGCGUGGGGAGCAAACAGG